CAGCCGCCGCGGUAAUACGUAGGUGGCAAGCGUUGUCCGGAAUUACUGGGUGUAAAGGGCGUGUAGGCGGGGAUGCAAGUCAGGUGUGAAAAACCAUGGCUCAACUGUGGUCUUGCAUCUGAAACUGUAUUUCUUGAGUACUGGAGAGGGAAGUGGAAUUCCUAGUGUAGCGGUGAAAUGCGUAGAGAUUAGGAGGAACACCAGUGGCGAAGGCGGCUUCCUGGCCAGAGACUGACGCUGAGGCGCGAAAGCGUGGGGAGCAAACAGGAUUAGAUACCCUGGUAGUCCACGCCGUAAACGAUGGAUACUAGGUGUAGGUGGUAACAAGCCAUCUGUGCCGGAGCAAACGCAAUAAGUAUCCCACCUGGGGAGUACGGCCGCAAGGCUGAAACUCAAAGGAAUUGACGGGGGCCCGCACAAGCAGUGGAGUAUGUGGUUUAAUUCGAAGCAACGCGAAGAACCUUACCAGGGCUUGACAUCCCUCGAAUUACGUAGAAAUACGUAAGUCCUACGGGACGAGGAGACAGGUGGUGCAUGGCC
rnacentral:rRNA from 1 species